rnacentral:tRNA from 1 species
GCCGAGGUGGCGCAACCUGGUACCGCGCAGGUCUUGAAAACCUGUUUCCGCAAGGAUAUCUGGGUUCAAAUCCCAGUCUCGGCG